UACGUAGGGGGCGAGCGUUGUCCGGAUUUAUUGGGCGUAAAGAGCGUGUAGGCGGCCAGAUAGGUCUGCUGUGAAAACUCGAGGCUCAACCUCGAGCUGUCGGCGGAAACCAUCUGGCUAGAGUCCGGAAGAGGAGAGUGGAAUUCCUGGUGUAGCGGUGAAAUGCGCAGAUAUCAGGAAGAACACCUAUGGCGAAGGCAGCUCUCUGGGACGGUACUGACGCUGAGACGCGAAAGCGUGGGGAGCGAACAGG
rnacentral:rRNA from 1 species